UACAGAGGGUGCGAGCGUUUGUCCGGAAUCACUGGGCGUAAAGGGCGCGUAGGUGGCGACCCAAGUCCAUGGUGAAAGCUCGAUGCUCAACAUCGAGUCGGCCACGGAUACUGGGUUGCUGGAGCACUGUAGAGGCAGAUGGAAUUCCGGGUGUAGCGGUGGAAUGCGUAGAGAUCCGGAAGAACACCGGUGGCGAAGGCGGUCUGCUGGGGCAGUUGCUGACACUGAGGCGCGACAGCGUGGGGAGCAAACAGG
rnacentral:rRNA from 1 species